UGAGGUAGUAGAUUGUAUAGUUUAAGGGUAGUGAUUUUACCCGUUUCAGAAGAUAACUAAACAGUCUACUGCCUUCCU
ensembl:miRNA gmo-let-7f gmo-let-7f